AUUGAACGCUGGCGGCAGGCCUAACACAUGCAAGUCGAGCGGAUGAAGGGAGCUUGCUCCUGGAUUCAGCGGCGGACGGGUGAGUAAUGCCUAGGAAUCUGCCUGGUAGUGGGGGAUAACGUCCGGAAACGGGCGCUAAUACCGCAUACGUCCUGAGGGAGAAAGUGGGGGAUCUUCGGACCUCACGCUAUCAGAUGAGCCUAGGCUGGAUUAGCUAGUUGGUGGGGUAAAGGCCUACCAAGGCGACGAUCCGUAACUGGUCUGAGAGGAUGAUCAGUCACACUGGAACUGAGACACGGUCCAGACUCCUACGGGAGGCAGCAGUGGGGAAUAUUGGACAAUGGGCGAAAGCCUGAUCCAGCCAUGCCGCGUGUGUGAAGAAGGUCUUCGGAUUGUAAAGCACUUUAAGUUGGGAGGAAGGGCAGUAAGUUAAUACCUUGCUGUUUUGACGUUACCAACAGAAUAAGCACCGGCUAACUUCGUG
rnacentral:rRNA from 1 species